rnacentral:lncRNA from 1 species
AUACUCUUGGAGAAAUACGAGAACUGCUGCAUGUCUGAAAGAGUAAUCAAGUCAAGAUCAGAAAUAAAUGAAGGACAGUUCUCCUCCUCCUCCUAAGGAACUCAGGGAUCAGAAAGAAGGGAUUAAAAUACUCUCACUGCUCCCUUUCACGCGGACAGAAGUAUGGAAACAUCACCGCGAACGACGGCGAGCCCAGCACAGGCCCUUAAGCUGCUGCUUUGUGGUCGGCCACUGACUUCUUUGCUCAUUUCUUCAGCACUCGCUCAGGCUACUGAAUCACUGAGGAUGCUGAACGCUCAAGUCUUCGAGAACAGUCUGAAAAUAGCAGCUGAAUAUAUUGGAAGACAACAACUUGCUAUAUAUCAGUAAAGCAUUUUUCACUUGGAGUCUAAAGCUGAUUUCUUUCAAGGGCUGAUUUCAAAUAGCAACGUUCCCCCCAAAGACUUCAAGAAAUGCCUUUUUAAAAAGUCCAUUUUUAAAGUGCAGUAUGAGAAUUUACAGUUCUGAAAUAGUAGAAAGUAGUCAGGGAAAUACUAAGAUAUGAGUCAUGACUCUUAUUGAUUGUGAAGUCUAGAAAUCUGGUAAGCAAGAUCAUACAGAGCAAUUGACCACAAUAGCUGUUUGCAAGGCUUCAGAAAUCACAGCAUAUCUUUAACCAUUUUUACCAGCUUACUGAAGGAGCAAAUGUACUUUCAAGAUCAAUUUCCAUCACUGGACCAAAGAAUAGGAAUAUCUGUAUCAGCCCAACAAACACGGCACCUCUGUGCUCCGAUAAAAACAAAGAUCCUUUUUGGAAAAUAGGAAGUCAAGGUGUAUAAGAAGUAGCUACACCCACCAUAAGUGAUAUUACCCAUACGUCUUCAUGGAGAAGUUUAGCCUGAUUAGUAUCUCCCUAUAGAUGGAUCCCAAUCCUGGCAAUGCCUGUGAGCUGGGGCUGGGAAAAGGAAGAAACAGAGCCUUUCACCUGACUGUCUCUGAUGUUGCACGUGAUCCACAUCUAUCUGUCCUAGAUUCAAUGCUGCACUCGGGGAGCAAGAGGUUUUGCAGCCCUUCUAACAAGCUCUUCAACACCUGCUCCAAGGCUCUUUGGUCUUCCCUCACGUCUUGCCGGAUGGUCAGCAGCAAAGCAUCUCCUUCUGAAUGCACGCAAGGAAGAAAGAGGGGAAUUUACUUUCUUCAGCCACCUAUUAUUGCAUUGGACAAUCACUGAAGUAUUUUACGUUUACAAAAAUAUAAAAUGAAGUUGCAUGUAAAUCGUAUAUUUAAACAUCUGCUGUCAUUUGGAAAAUAACGUUACUAUAAAUAUUCCUCCCCUGACCAGGCAAAUGACAUCAAAGCGCUCCCAGAUUUGAGGGGAAAGUCCUGGACUGGAACUGUGCGAGUAAUUAAUGGUGUUGGUUUGCUGCUUGAAGUGAAUUUUCGCAGGUGUUUUGGUGAACUUUCCCACCUCUCCAAUUGCGCAUUCUCUUACAGAAAAAAAUCCCAAAUGAAUAAAGACAUCUGGGAGGGAGGGAGAGAGAAUAUG